ensembl:lncRNA
UAUCGCUGUGUAUUUUUUAAUUCUUUUUUUCUCGUAUUUUAAUAGAUGGUUCAGCAAACAGCCGGGAGUCAGCUCUGCAGAGACGUCUAGUGUCCAGGGAGGUCUUCAACAGGGGGUCCGCACAGUGAACGGAUAAAUUGAUGGAGGAGACGUCAUCUUUCAGUCCGCAACACACACAUUCAUCUUCCCACAGCAGCUCACUCACAGCACCUAUCAUUUUGGGGGUCCUUGGCCUGAAAAACCUUGAAGACCCCUGCUCUAUUAUGUUACCUGCAUCAUCAUUUCUCCUGUUUUUCUCCUGCACAAAUACCUCAUCCACAAUCCGUUGUUCUCAUCCCACACGGUGCGAGCAGUGGGAUGCCGUAAAGGUGCCUGCCAGCAGGGUGUCUUGCUCAGGGGCACUUCGACAUGGGACAGGGAGCAGCCAGGGUUCAAACCACCAACCCUGAAGUUCCCGGCUCACCCUCUCUUCUCCAUGCCAUUGAUCUUUCCUGCAGUACAACCGGUGACCAGCAGGUGGCACUGUAACACCAUCUAUCCACCAAGCUCCUCUCAUCUUCUCUCCUUGUCGUCAUCAGAGAAACUACAUGGACACACGCAUGUACUGGCUUUAUUGUCCAUUCAAAGCCUCAAACUGAUGCAGUUUAUAAAAAACUUAAACAUAGUCUAAUAUGUUCUUGUGUGUCUGCUACUUUAAUUGAUGUUUGAAUUUGAAACAGCUGG